AUUGAACGCUGGCGGCAGGCCUAACACAUGCAAGUCGAACGAGUGGCGGACGGGUGAGUAAUGUAUGGGAAACUGCCUGAUGGAGGGGGAUAACUACUGGAAACGGUAGCUAAUACCGCAUACCAUCGGAUGUACCCAGUUGGGAUUAGCUUGUUGGGGGGUUAACGGCUCACCAAGGGGACGAUCCCUAGCGGGUCUGAGAGGAUGACCAGCCACACGUGAACUGAGACACGGUCCGUACUCCUACGGGAGGCGGCAGUGGGGAAUCUUGCACAAUGGGCGCAAGCCUGAUGCAGCCAUGCCGCGUGUAUGAAGAAGGCCUUCGGGUUGUAAAGUACUUUCAGCGGGGAGGCGUUACCCGCAGAAGAAGCACCGGCUAACUCCGUGCCAGCAGCCGCGGUAAUAC
rnacentral:rRNA from 1 species